AUCAUCACUUGCAAAGUGUCUGGGGUCUUUGGCUGGAGUCUGCUACUCAUGUCUGAAUAUGGCUAAAGGAGUGACUUGGCUUUUCUAGGCUCCAGUUCUUUAAAUACUAAAUAAGAGCAACAUAGUGGACAACUAGAUAUCCAACCACGUAACUUGGUGACUUGGAAGUUCUUGUGUCUAUGCUUCAUGGAUGGGAAUAGUUAGUGAAUCAAACUCUGGCAGUAGAAGAGAACAUAGUGUGGAGUUGUCCUGGUCAUGGUGUCUCUUCACAGCAAUGAAACCCUAAGACAGCUGGUACAAGGGAAAAUGGCCAAUCUGCUUUGGCUACUGUUCUUCAGAUGAAUCAUUGGACAAACACUAUGCUGCCAUGUUUGCCAGGUUCCAGGAAAUACAAGGAUGUGGGUAAAUUAGAUGUAGAG
rnacentral:lncRNA from 1 species